CAAGCAGUCAAGUCUCGACAGCCGUGAGCGAGAGUCGAGAACAUGGUGCAAGGUGCAAGUUUAUUGGAGAGGGGAUUUACGGGACCGUUUUCGAAGGGACGUGGAAGGGCAAAACGGUGGCCGUCAAGCGAAUUCAAUUCCCAAACGUUGAAAACAACAAAGGGGCAGAGGCUCUGCAAAAACUUGACCAUCCAAAUGUCGUCAAACUUUAUCACGUUGAAAACGCUGAUGAUUUCAGAAUUUAUGCGCUGGAACUGUGCCAGGCAUCUCUAUAUCAACUAUUCCACGAUGACGAUGCCCAGAAAAACUAUGGCGAGAAAAUGCCGCCAGAAAAAGAAGUUUGCUUCCAGUUGGCCCAGGGAUUGGCGCACAUUCACGAAAAGAGAUUCAUCUACUGGGAUUUCAAACCCCAAAAAUGUUUUAAUUUCUGUUCAUCCGACUGGAGGAAAAAUCUCGAUGAAAUGGGCCGAUUUCAGACUCAGUAAACCACGCAACGAGAGGGAAAGUAUCUCGACGACAGACCGCGACUAAAAGCCCGAUGAUUGGUUUGCCCCUGAAAUAUGGCAGAUAAAAAACAAUUUGGAUCUGACGACGCCCCUCCGUUCAGAAGGAACCGUCACGAGCGACGUCUUUUCCGCAGGUCUCAUUUUCGGCUAUUAUCUUUUGAAAGGAAGUCACCCGUACGGCUUUAAAUCCAAUAUUAUCAAAGACAACAUUAUCAAUAAUACGCCAGUCAAUCUGAAAGCCAUAGAAGAGCAGCAACAUCCCAUGCGAGCUAUCAUCAUGGACAUGCUGAAACACGAGCCUGACGAGAGAAUUUCAUCAGCCGACGUCGUAACAAGAAUCGCCAACAUUAAGUAAGAAAAAACAAUCGACACACAAACAGUGAUCUUUUACCAGCAGGUUGACUCUUAUUGAACCCUCCAACUACGACAACUCCCCCAAAAAGGAAUCUGCCCUACCAAAAUUUUGAAAUAUUUAGGCGACAUUUAUCUAACUCAGACUAUGCAGUUCUUUUUGGGUCGGUUGAGAUUCGUGGUUUUUUCAUUCCACUUUUUUGGGGAAAUGGAUGUGGCUAAUAAAAUUUAAUCGCCGACGGUUGUUGUUGCCGAUAAAUCUUACUCGCCAGAUUUCUUGUCGCUUAGAAUUUUCUACUAAUAUUACAAAAUCAAUCGUAAAUUUGAGUGUCAAAUAAGCAGAUCAGGUGCAUGGUCGAGUACAAGGUUGCUAAACGGCUAAUCAUUGUCAGCUUUCCGUCGAGCUGAUUCGUCGAACUCAUUUCCUUAAAGUUUCUUUCUAAAUUUAGGUUAGCCCUUACGGAAAAAUCUCAUUAAAACUCAUAAAGAAAUACAUGAGAAUAAACUUAAUACUCAUUCAUUUUGUCGUGAUAUUUUGGUGAGAUUAACAGCAAAAUAUCAUUUAUUUGAUGACUUUUGAUGAGAAUUUGGGACAUUUUCAAGUUUAAAAUCAGCCGUUAAUCAUUAAUUUCAUGUGAACAAAGUGAGAAUUAUGUUAUUUCUCAUCUAAAUAUAAAUUAUUAGUCACGUAAAUAUAAUGAUUUCUGACUGAGGGUUCACUGUAAUCUCGCUUAAUUUCUCUUUUUCCCCAAAAAUGUUAAUGAUUUUCUCACUAAAAUUUGAAUGAGAAUUUGAGCGCUUUUAAAUGAGAUUUUAAUUAUAUAAAUUGAAAAAAGAAUUGCCCUGACCAGGAAUCGAACCUCGACUUCCAGGGUGGCUUGCCAAUCUGCUAACCACUACACCACUAAUUGAUGUUAUGGUUGAAGCUUUUUAACGGAGAAAUUAAUAAAUUGGUUAGUUUAGUGAUAUAACAACAGGGUUAUGGGACUUAGAAUAAUUUACACAAAAAACACAUACCAGAGUCAAAUAGAAAUUGCACUCAAAUUUACUUAGCGCGUGAAAAAACUUAGUAAAAAUUUCUAUGAUGCGUUUUGACAUA